UUAACUCAAAUUGUAUGGAGUUGGAACGUUUGCUUACCUUUGCCGCUAGGGGCGCUGUUCUAACUGCAUACAAAUUUGAGUUA
rnacentral:pre_miRNA from 1 species